GACGAACGCUGGCGGCGUGCUUAACACAUGCAAGUCGAACGAUGAACCCGGAGCUUGCUCCGGCGGAUUAGUGGCGAACGGGUGAGUAACACGUGAGUAACCUGCCCUUGACUCUGGGAUAACUGCGGGAAACUGUAGCUAAUACCGGAUACGACCCUCGGCGGCAUCGCCAGGGGGUGGAAAGAAUUUCGGUCAAGGAUGGACUCGCGGCCUAUCAGCUAGUUGGUGAGGUAUCGGCUACCCAAGGCGACGACGGGUAGCCGGCCUGAGACGGUGACGGGCCACCCUGGGACUGGGACCCGGCCGAGACUCCGACGGGAGGCAGCAGUGGGGAACAGUGCACAAGGGGCGCAAGCCUGAUGCAGCAACGCCGCGUGAGGGAUGACGGCCUUCGUGUUGUAAACGCCUUUUAGUAGGGAAGAAGCGAAAGUGACGGUACCUGCAGAAAAAGCACCGGCUAACUACGUGCCAGCCGCCGCGGUAA
rnacentral:rRNA from 1 species